UACGUAGGUGGCAAGCGUUGUCCGGAUUUACUGGGCGUAAAGGGCGUGCAGGCGGUCUGUUAAGUGCAGGGUGAAAGCUCCCGGCUCAACUGGGGGAGGUCCUUGCAUACUGGCGGACUUGAGGGGGGUAGAGGAAAGUGGAAUUCCCGGUGUAGUGGUGAUAUGCGUAGAUAUCGGGAGGAACACCUGUGGCGAAGGCGGCUUUCUGGGCCCUACCUGACGCUGAGACGCGAAAGCGUGGGGAGCGAACCGG
rnacentral:rRNA from 1 species